CAGCGUGUGGAGGUCACACAUCAUGCCGUUUGAUGCUGGAAUACACUGCAUAGCGGGUGAUCUCCCUAUCCAGU
rnacentral:pre_miRNA from 1 species